GCGGCGGUAGUUCAGUGGUAGAAUGUCUCCUUCCCAAGGAGAAGGUCGCCGGUUCGAAUCCGGUCCGCCGCU
rfam:Microgenomates (Woesebacteria) bacterium GW2011_GWB1_44_11b TW21_C0023, whole genome shotgun sequence.